GGCGAUUUUCAUUCUUAUUGACCAAUUCAAAUUUGAUCUUCUUUUUCCAUCAUAUAGAUGAAAUUUCAAGGACUCGUUGGGAACAAACUCUGAAACCAGCAAUCUAUCGGAUGAAUCACUGCAGUACCCAAUCAGGCUAACUAGAUUUUCGUCACGCACAGUGCCGAAGGCCUUAAUCAGCUCCUUAAAUUCCUUUUCCCACUGUCCGUCCAUGUUUUUAAGUUUCUUAAUAGCAACUUCACCACUUGGAAGGGAUCCCUUGAAGACAUCACCGAAACUUCCCCUGCCAAUGAGUUUGCCAUUGGAGAAAAGUAGAGUUGCCUUCGCUAGUUCAACAUAUUCAUAUUUUUUUAGCCCAUUUGCUUUGACAUUCUUAACUGCAGGUGUAUGACUUUCCUCCUCACUGGAUGACAUAGCUUCAAACUCCCACUAACUAAUCAUAAAACUGAGAAUCAUAAUCUAUACAAAAAGAAAGCAGUAGCCCCUAAACUUAAAAUAAAUCAUGAAGAAGCCGAAGAUGAGGACUGCAAAGAAGGGACAUAGAUUCAGAAACAACAAGGAGGCUUUUGGUUUCUGAAUAAUUAAACAUGUUAGGUAAACAGUAAGCUAAAACAAUACAGCUGGCAGUGCUGCGGAUCUGGCCACAAUACUGGUGCUAAAGUUGCAGGGUCCUGCACUUAUGCUACCACCACUACUGCAACAAAAAGUCAAAGUCAAUACCGCGGGCGGAGAGAUUUUGUAUGGUUUGAGAGUUCUUUAGAGAGCUACAGCUAUAAUCAUAUUUUCAAGAUAAUUUUCAGACUCAGUACCUUCAAA
rnacentral:misc_RNA from 1 species